rnacentral:tRNA from 1 species
GCCGGCUUAGCUCAGCGGUAGAGUGCUUCCUUGGUAAGGAAGAGGUCACGGGUUCAAUUCCCGUAGUUGGCUCAA